AUUGAACGCUGGCGGCAUGCUUUACACAUGCAAGUCGAACGGUAACAGGGAGCUUGCUCCGCUGACGAGUGGCGAACGGGUGAGUAAUGCGUCGGAACGUGCCGAGUAGUGGGGGAUAACGCAUCGAAAGGUGUGCUAAUACCGCAGACGAACUGAGGUUGAAAGUGGGGGACCUUCGGGCCUCACGCCAUUCGAGCGGCCGACGUCUGAUUAGCUAGUUGGUGAGGUAAAGGCUCACCAAGGCGACGAUCAGUAGCGGGUCUGAGAGGAUGAUCCGCCACACUGGGACUGAGACACGGCCCAGACCCCUACGGGAGGCAGCAGUGGGGAAUUUUGGACAAUGGGCGCAAGCCUGAUCCAGCCAUGCCGCGUGUCUGAAGAAGGCCUUCGGGUUGUAAAGGACUUUUGUCCGGGAGCAAAUGCUGGUGGCUAACAUCCACCGGAGCUGAGAGUACCGGAAGAAUAAGCACCGGCUAACUACGUGCCAGCCGCCGCCGUAAGAC
rnacentral:rRNA from 1 species